ACCAUGACAGCACAGUCUACUUGGCAGGCACCAGGACAGAAGCUCAGUGAAAUAGUCUAAAGGCUGCGUCUCCCCAGAAUUCCUACAUUGAAAUCCUAAGCCUCAAAAUGAUGGCCUUAGGAAGUACAGUCUCUGGGGUGUGAUUAGAUCAUGAGGGUAGAGCCCUCAUGAUUGGGAUUCAUAGCCUUCUCAAAGAGACCUCAAAGAGUUUACUUCUACCAUGUGACAAUGUGGCAGAAGGCACCAUUUAAGAACCAGGGAGUGACAACUGAAAGAAGGGUGAUCUAUUGGUCCCAGCACCCUGCAAUACAGCAUCGAUAUCACCCGGGAACUUUUGGGCCAAGCAGAAUCUCAGACCCCCACUGCAGGCCUGCUGAAUCAGCCUCUGUAUGUAUGAAGACACCCUGUGAUCCAAAUGCACAUCAGGUUUGAGUAGCAAGGCCUGCGAUUAUGGUGCACGGGGGAGGGAAGAGACCCAAGAAAAAGUUGGGUGUGAGACUUGUGGAGAGAUCAGAAGUACCUUGGAUGGCAGGUGUUCAUUGGAUAUGUUAAUCAUUUUGUUUUAUUGAGAUAGGAUCUUGCUGAAGAGCCUAAGCUGGUUCAAACUCCUAGCCUCAAGUGAUCCCCCUGCCUCCCAAACAACUGGGACUACAAGCACGCCACCCCAUGGGUUUACAUUUGCUAUUAACUUUUUAACUAGUUAAAACUCAAGAGUCAAUGAAAGAGAGAAUCAGAGAGAUCUAGAGUGCAACAUGUGACAUCUGGGGCCAAAAACAGCCUGCCCAAUCCUAGAGUGUGGCCCACUUGAGAUUUUCAGCACACACACAUUCACAGGUAAACUGAAAGACCAGCAGGGCUCUCCCGUCUGUCACUCCCUGCACCCAACCCUUGACUACAACCAGCGACCCCUACAAGGCUUUUCUUGAGAACCCCACCUCCCACCCCCUUCUCCCUCCACAGGAGACGUUGGCCAUUUCCUGCUCUAUUCCCAGCACAAAGUAAGCGCUCAAUAAUCAUGUGCCAUAUAAUGAAAGUGUUGUGCUAGCAGGCUUGGAUCAAUUAGUGAUUGUAAUUGAAGCUGAAUGUAAUUAAUUAUGUAAUUGGGGACUGUUCAAGUUUAAUUCCACUAAAAUUGCAUCAUGAAAACAAGGCAUGCGGAAGGACUAAAAGCAAAGGAGCUCACUUCCGCCCACGGUGGGCAGACUUAGGAGUCGGACCCCUUUCUGUCUUGGUUGGUUUGAGCUGUCGGAACAAAGAUACCGCAGACUUGGCAGCUGAAACAACAACCAUCUCUUUCUCAUCGUUCUGGAGUCUUGGGAAGCUCAGGAUGGAAGCACUGUCAAGUCCAGGGUCUGGUGAGGACCCGCUUCCUGACUGGUAGAUGGUCACCUUCUCCUCACACCCUCCCAGGGUGGGGGGGGCUCCCCUCUUUCAUGUUUCUUCUUAUAAAGGUGCUGAUCCCA